GCGGCGGACGGGUGAGUAACGCGUGGGUAAUCUGCCCUGUACACACGGAUAACAUACCGAAAGGUAUGCUAAUACGAGAUAAUAUACUUUUAUCGCAUGGUAGAAGUAUCAAAGCUCCGGCGGUACAGGAUGGACCCGCGUCUGAUUAGCUAGUUGGUAAGGUAACGGCUUACCAAGGCGACGAUCAGUAGCCGACCUGAGAGGGUGAUCGGCCACAUUGGAACUGAGACACGGUCCAAACUCCUACGGGAGGCAGCAUG
rnacentral:rRNA from 1 species